ACUCAAAGGAAUUGACGGGGACCCGCACAAGCGGUGGAGCAUGUGGAUUAAUUCGAUGCAACGCGAAGAACCUUACCUGGCCUUGACAUCCGGACGACCGGGGCUUAAUCGCCCCUUCCCUUCGGGGCGUCCGAGACAGGUGGUGCAUGGUUGUCGUCAGCUCGUGUCGUGAGAUGUUGGGUUAAGUCCCGCAACGAGCGCAACCCCUGUCCUUAGUAGCCAGCAUUUAGUUGGGGACUCUAGGGAGACUGCCGGGGAUAACCCGGAGGAAGGCGGGGAUGAUGUCAAAUCAUCAUGCCCCUUAUGGCCAGGGCUUCACACGUGCUACAAUGGCGCAAACAAAGGGAUGCGAAACUGCGAAGUGGAGCAAAUCCCAAAAAAAGCGUCUCAGUUCGGAUUGUAGGCUGCAACCCGCCUGCAUGAAGCCGGAAUCGCUAGUAAUCGCGGAUCAGAAUGCCGCGGUGAAUACGUUCCCGGGUCUUGUACACACCGCCCGU
rnacentral:rRNA from 1 species